rnacentral:rRNA from 1 species
AUUGAACGCUGGCGGCAUGCCUUACACAUGCAAGUCGAACGGUAGCACGGGUGCUUGCACCUGGUGGCGUGUGGCGAAAGGGUGAGUAAUACAUCGGAACAUGUCCUGUAGUGGGGGGUAGCACGGCGAGAGCCGGAGUAAUAACGCAUGCGAUCUACGGAUGAAAGCGGGGGACCUUGGGGCCUGGCGUGAUAGGGUGGGGGGAUGGCUGAUUGGCUAGUUGGUGGGGUAAAGGCUUACGAAGGCGACGAUCAGUAGCGGGUCUGAGAGGACGACCGGCCACACUGGGACUGAGACACGGCCCAGACUCCUACGGGAGGCGGCAGUGGGGAAUGUUGGACAAUGGGCGAAAGCCUGAUCCAGCAAUGCCGCGUGUGUGAAGAGGGCCUUCGGGUUGUGAAGCACAUUUGUCCGGAAAGAAAUCCUUGGCUCUAAUACAGUCGUGGGAUGACGGUACCGGAAGAAUAAGCACCGGCUAACUACGUG